UACGGAGGGGGAAAGCGUUAUCCGGAUUCACUGGGGUUAAAGGGUGCGUAGGUGGGCAAGUAAGUCAGAGGUGAAAUCUCCGGGCUUAACCCGGAAACUGCCAUUGAUACUAUUUGUCUUGAAUACUGUGGAGGUCAGCGGAAUAUGUCAUGUAGCGGUGAAAUGCUUAGAUAUGACAUAGAACACCAAUUGCGAAGGCAGCUGGCUACACAAAUAUUGACACUGAGGCACGAAAGCGUGGGGAUCAAACAGG
rnacentral:rRNA from 1 species